UUCAGACUGAAGAAGGUUUUGUUAUUAUUACCCGUCAGGUUUGGCAGAACUGUGUUUGAGGUCCAGAAUCAAGAGGAAGCUGGGAAGAAGAGAAGAACAAUGAAAUAAAGAUUUAAGACUAGUGGAAGAGAUUUUCUAUAUUAUUUUGGAAAAGAGAGAUACUGAAGAAAAUGCACGGAGGGGAGAAUAUAUGUAAAAUACAGGACCUAACUUAGUCUGUGAGACCAGCAAAAAUAUUCCUAAGGAAAUGAAGAGGGAAAUUUCAAU
rnacentral:lncRNA from 1 species